rnacentral:rRNA from 1 species
UACGGGGGGGGCAAGCGUUGUUCGGAAUUACUGGGCGUAAAGGGCUCGUAGGCGGCCAACUAAGUCGGAUGUGAAAUCCCCAGGCUCAACCUGGGAACUGCAUCCGAUACUGGAAGGCUUGAAUCCGGGAGAGGGAUGUGGAAUUCCAGGUGUAGCGGUGAAAUGCGUAGAUAUCUGGAGGAACACCGGUGGCGAAGGCGACAUCCUGGACCGGUAUUGACGCUGAGGCGCGAAAGCCAGGGGAGCAAACGGG